rnacentral:rRNA from 1 species
UUGACCUCAAAUCAGGUAGGACUACCCGCUGAACUUAAGCAUAUCAAUAAGCGGAGGAAAAGAAACUAACAAGGAUUCCCUUAGUAACUGCGAGUGAAGUGGGAAAAGCUCAAAUUUAAAAUCUGGCAGUCAUUUGGCUGUCCGAGUUGUAAUCUAGAGAAGUGUUGCCCGUGCUGGACCAUGUACAAGUCUCCUGGAAUGGAGCAUCACAGAGGGUGAGAAUCCUGUCUUUGAYAUGGACUACCAGUGCUUUUGUGGUAUGCUCUCAAAGAGUCGAGUUGUUUGGGAAUGCAGCUCAAAAUGGGUGGUAAAUGCCAUCUAAAGCUAAAUAUUGGCGAGAGACCGAUAGCGAACAAGUACCGUGAGGGAAAGAUGAAAAGAACUUUGGAAAGAGAGUUAAACAGUACGUGAAAUUGCUGAAAGGGAAACGCUUGAAGUCAGUCACGUUGACUUGGAAUCAGCUCUGCUUUUGCUGGGUGUACUUUCUUGUCAAUGGGUCAGCAUCAAUUUUGACCAUUGGAUAAAGUCGUUGGGAAUGUAGCAUCUUUUGGAUGUGUUAUAGCCUGGCGAUGCAUACGGUGGUUGGGAUUGAGGAAUUCAGCACGCCCACCAGGCCAGGUUUUUGACCAUGUUCGUGCUUAGGAUGCUGGCAUAAUGGCUUUAAUUGACC